rnacentral:rRNA from 1 species
AUGACAUUACGAAACCUGUUUUUGAGAAAUGUGUACAACUUUGUGACGCACUGUCAGAUAGCACUAUUACUUUUUAAUACACCGGGACCUUUUCUUGUCCAUAGCGAGCUUUUACUCCCAAAUGCCACCGUAUCCUUUUUUGCUCUCUGCUUCAUCACAUAUGUCAUGUGGACGCAACUAUGCCCCUUCCUGCUGCCUCUUCUCCUAUGCCGCCUUCUUCCCCUUGGAACUUCCUCUUGGAACUGCCACGACGACAUUGCUUUGACAGAAGAUCUCUAUCUAUUUGUCCUGAAAUGA